AUUGAACGCUGGCGGCAGGCCUAACACAUGCCAGUCGAGCGGACGAAGGGAGCUUGCUCCUGGAUUCAGCGGCGGACGGGUGAGUAAUGCCUAGGAAUCUGCCUGGCAGCGGGGGAUAACGUCCGGAAACGGGCGCUAAUACCGCAUACGUCCUGAGGGAGAAAGGGGGGGAUCUUCGGACCUCACGCUAUCAGAUGAGCCUAGGUCGGAUUAGCUAGUUGGUGGGGUAAAGGCCUACCAAGGCGACGAUCCGUAACUGGUCUGAGAGGAUGAUCAGUCACACUGGAACUGAGACACGGUCCAGACUCCUACGGGAGGCAGCAGUGGGGAAUAUUGGACAAUGGGCGAAAGCCUGAUCCAGCCAUGCCGCGUGUGUGAAGAAGGUCUUCGGAUUGUAAAGCACUUUAAGUUGGGAGGAAAAGCAGUAAGUUAAUACCUUGCUGUUUUGACGUUACCAACAGAAUAAGCACCGGCUAACUUCGUG
rnacentral:rRNA from 1 species